UGUCAUUAGCUAGUUGGCGGGGUAACGGCCCACCAAGGCGACGAUGACUAGGGGAUCUGAGAGGAUGGCCCCCCACACUGGUACUGAGACACGGACCAGACUCCUACGGGAGGCAGCAGUAAGGAAUAUUGGUCAAUGGAGGCAACUCUGAACCAGCCAUGCCGCGUGCAGGAAGACUGCCCUAUGGGUUGUAAACUGCUUUUAUUCGGGAAUAAACCUAUUUACGUGUAAAUAGCUGAAUGUACCGAAGGAAUAAGGAUCGGCUAACUCCGUGCCAGCCGC
rnacentral:rRNA from 1 species